AAUUAUAACGAACUUGUGUGUCUAUGCACAAAUUCGUGAGAAAAAAGGAACCAAGGUUAGUACCACAACUGUGUAACACCCCAAAUUUUUUAUAAUAUUUGUAUUUUUGAUUGAGCAUUUUUUAUAACGAGGAAAUAUUUUACUUUGCACUUCCUAAAUGUGAAAUGGUCAGUAUAUGAAAAUUUCUUACUUUAGGCUGUGUUAAUAUUGACAAGGAAGUUCCAUGGUGUUGCUAUAUGUAACACUUAAUAUUAUUUUGACGAGUUGUUAUUAAAUAUAGUAUAUAAUUAAGUUUUGGGUUUCCAACCUUUUGUAUUUAUCUAAGAAUAUUUAGUAGUUGAGGAACCAUUUUAUUUCAUAUCUAUCCAUAAGCUCCCUAUUCUUCUACUCUUCAGAAACAAAGAAGAAUAACUAUCUACCUCUCUAUCUUUCUAUCUCUAUCUUUCUACUCUAUCUCUCUAUCUCUAUCUCUCUCUAUCUCUCUCCUCCGUAAGAACAAGAAGCUGAAGGUUCAUCAAAAAAAAAACAUGGAUUUCUACUAAAUCAACGCACAAAAUUCGUUUUUGGUGAAGAUCAAGUUGCUCCUCUUGGUAUAUAAAUCCUUGGAAAAAAAUCAAAGGGGAAGUGUUUGAGGAAGUGGACAGAUUUGGUUUGUUUAUGGCGUAGACGAUUCGAACGUCCCCAAGUUGUGAUUGAGCUGUUUUGUGGUAAAAUAUCAAGG